rnacentral:rRNA from 2 species
UGCAAGUCGAACGAUGAAGCCCUUCGGGGUGGAUUAGUGGCGAACGGGUGAGUAACACGUGGGCAAUCUGCCCUUCACUCUGGGACAAGCCCUGGAAACGGGGUCUAAUACCGGAUAAUACUUCCACUCGCAUGGGUGGGGGUUGAAAGCUCCGGCGGUGAAGGAUGAGCCCGCGGCCUAUCAGCUUGUUGGUGAGGUAGUGGCUCACCAAGGCGACGACGGGUAGCCGGCCUGAGAGGGCGACCGGCCACACUGGGACUGAGACACGGCCCAGACUCCUACGGGAGGCAGCAGUGGGGAAUAUUGCACAAUGGGCGAAAGCCUGAUGCAGCGACGCCGCGUGAGGGAUGACGGCCUUCGGGUUGUAAACCUCUUUCAGCAGGGAAGAAGCGAAAGUGACGGUACCUGCAGAAGAAGCGCCGGCUAACUACGUGCCAGCAGCCGCGGUAAUACGUAGGGCGCAAGCGUUGUCCGGAAUUAUUGGGCGUAAAGAGCUCGUAGGCGGUCUGUCGCGUCGGAUGUGAAAGCCCGGGGCUUAACCCCGGGUCUGCAUUCGAUACGGGCAGACUAGAGUGUGGUAGGGGAGAUCGGAAUUCCUGGUGUAGCGGUGAAAUGCGCAGAUAUCAGGAGGAACACCGGUGGCGAAGGCGGAUCUCUGGGCCAUUACUGACGCUGAGGAGCGAAAGCGUGGGGAGCGAACAGGAUUAGAUACCCUGGUAGUCCACGCCGUAAACGGUGGGAACUAGGUGUUGGCGACAUUCCACGUCGUCGGUGCCGCAGCUAACGCAUUAAGUUCCCCGCCUGGGGAGUACGGCCGCAAGGCUAAAACUCAAAGGAAUUGAC